AGAAGCAAAGUUCUUACAUGUUCGCUACGUCACAACUUAUUCGGCAAAGCUGUUUACAUCUCCCAUUUUGUGCAUUAACUCUUUUUCGAAAAAGGC